rnacentral:rRNA from 1 species
GACGAACGCUGGCGGCGUGCUUAACACAUGCAAGUCGAACGGAAAGGCCCUGCUUUUGUGGGGUGCUCGAGUGGCGAACGGGUGAGUAACACGUGAGUAACCUGCCCUUGACUUUGGGAUAACUUCAGGAAACUGGGGAUAAUACAGGAGAGGAGCUCGUGAUGCAUGGUGGGGGUUGGAAAGCUUCGGCGGUUGGGGAUGGACUCGCGGCUUAUCAGCUUGUUGGUGGGGUAGUGGCUUACCAAGGCUUUGACGGGUAGCCGGCCUGAGAGGGUGACCGGCCACAUUGGGACUGAGAUACGGCCCAGACUCCUACGGGAGGCAGCAGUGGGGAAUAUUGCACAAUGGGCGGAAGCCUGAUGCAGCAACGCCGCGUGCGGGAUGACGGCCUUCGGGUUGUAAACCGCUUUCGCCUGUGACGAAGCGUGAGUGACGGUAAUGGGUAAAGAAGCACCGGCUAACUACGUG